rnacentral:rRNA from 1 species
GUCGUCUGUGAAAUUCCGGGGCUUAACUCCGGGCGUGCAGGCGAUACGGGCAUAACUUGAGUACUGUAGGGGAGACUGGAAUUCCUGGUGUAGCGGUGAAAUGCGCAGAUAUCAGGAGGAACACCGGUGGCGAAGGCGGGUCUCUGGGCAGUAACUGACGCUGAGGAGCGAAAGCAUGGGGAGCGAACAGGAUUAGAUACCCUGGUAGUCCAUGCCGUAAACGGUGGGCGCUAGGUGUGGGUUUCCUUCCACGGGAUCCGUGCCGUAGCUAACGCAUUAAGCGCCCCGCCUGGGGAGUACGGCCGCAAGGCUAAAACUCAAAGGAAUUGACGGGGGCCCGCACAAGCGGCGGAGCAUGUGGAUUAAUUCGAUGCAACGCGAAGAACCUUACCUGGGCUUGACAUAUACAGGAUCGCGCCAGAGAUGGUGUUUCCCUUGUGGCUUGUAUACAGGUGGUGCAUGGUUGUCGUCAGCUCGUGUCGUGAGAUGUUGGGUUAAGUCCCGCAACGAGCGCAACCCUUGUCUUAUGUUGCCAGCACGUUGUG